rnacentral:lncRNA from 1 species
CUUUGCGUAAGGAAUUUACAUAAUGGAAUAUUAAAUCCUAGGACCAACUAAUGCCUCACGUGCACUCAAACUCAUGCACCUUCCAGAUUCAACAUAGCACUCAAACUCAUGCACCUUCCAGAACCAGGGGUCUUCAAGCCUUCUGUGUACGAUCAAACCAGCAUGCGUCAACAAAAGGAUUAGACGUUCCCUCAUGCUAC